rnacentral:rRNA from 1 species
UACGGAGGGUGCAAGCGUUAUCCGGAUUUAUUGGGUUUAAAGGGUCCGGUAGGCGGACUAUUAAGUCAGUGGUGAAAGCCCAUGAGCUCAACUAUGGAAUUGCCAUUGAUACUGAUAGUCUUGAGUACAAGUGAGGUUGGCGGAAUGUGUGGUGUAGCGGUGAAAUGCGUAGAUAUACGGAGGAACACCAGCGGCGAAGGCGGGUAGCUGGGCCAACACUGACGCUGAUGCGCGAAAGCUAGGGGAGCAAACGGG